rnacentral:rRNA from 1 species
AUUGAACGCUGGCGGCAUGCCUUACACAUGCAAGUCGAACGGCAGCACGGGUGCUUGCACCUGGUGGCGAGUGGCGAACGGGUGAGUAAUACAUCGGAACAUGUCCUCUAGUGGGGGAUAGCCCGGCGAAAGCCGGAUUAAUACCGCAUACGAUCCACGGAUGAAAGCGGGGGCCCUUCGGGCCUCGCGCUAUAGGGUUGGCCGAUGGCUGAUUAGCUAGUUGGUGGGGUAAAGGCCUACCAAGGCGACGAUCAGUAGCUGGUCUGAGAGGACGACCAGCCACACUGGGACUGAGACACGGCCCAGACUCCUACGGGAGGCAGCAGUGGGGAAUUUUGGACAAUGGGCGAAAGCCUGAUCCAGCAAUGCCGCGUGUGUGAAGAAGGCCUUCGGGUUGUAAAGCACUUUUGUCCGGAAAGAAAUCCUUGACUCUAAUACAGUCGGGGGAUGACGGUACCGGAAGAAUAAGCACCGGCUAACUACGUG